GGGAUUGCCCUAGUAACGGCGAGUGAAGCGGCAACAGCUCAAAUUUGAAAUCUGGCGCAAGCCCGAGUUGUAAUUUGUAGAGGAUGCUUCUGGGUAGCGGCCGGUCUAAGUUCCUUGGAACAGGACGUCAUAGAGGGUGAGAAUCCCGUAUGUGACUGGCUUGCACCCUCCACGUAGCUCCUUCGACGAGUCGAGUUGUUUGGGAAUGCAGCUCUAAAUGGGAGGUAAAUUUCUUCUAAAGCUAAAUACCGGCCAGAGACCGAUAGCGCACAAGUAGAGUGAUCGAAAGAUGAAAAGCACUUUGGAAAGAGAGUUAAAAAGCACGUGAAAUUGUUGAAAGGGAAGCGCCCGCAACCAGACUUUGCGGCAGUGUUCGGCCGGUCUUCUGACCGGUUUACUCGCUGUCGUGAGGCCAUCAUCGUCUGGGACCGCUGGAUAAGACCUUAGGAAUGUAGCUUCCCUCGGGAAGUGUUAUAGCCUCUGGUGAUGCAGCGCGUCUCGGGCGAGGUCCGCGCUUCGGCAAGGAUGAUGGCGUAAUGGUUGUCGGCGGCCCGUCUUGAAACACGGACCAAGGAGUCUAACAUCUAUGCGAGUGUUCGGGUGUCAAACCCCUACGCGUAAUGAAAGUGAACGGAGGUGGGAACUUUUUGUGCACCAUCGACCGAUCCUGAUGUCCUCGGAUGGAUUUGAGUAAGAGCAUAGCUGUUGGGACCCGAAAGAUGG
rnacentral:rRNA from 1 species